GGGCAACCCAGGUACAACAGCAAAGGGCUGUUGAGGAGACUUGGUACAAUAAAGUCCCCCUCUUUUUCUCCAGGGUCUCUUUCUUUUUCUCUAACAAGUUGUGUUUCUGACAGCCUUCACUUCAAAGCUGGUAGGAGUGACCACUCCUUUUAUCAUUACCAAGUCUGACUGGCUGACCAAGAGCUGCAUUUGCAAGUUCACCUCUUUUUAGCUGUGGAUCAUCUGCAGUGAGAUGAUACCAACUGCCCAGUGAUUUCCACAUGGUCAUUCCCCACUGAGCCCCAGGAUCCUCACCCUGGCAAGCAGCUGCAUGUGGAGCCCCCAGUGUGAGACCACCUGAAUGCAAGUUUAAGUCUUGAGACUCCCCAGACCAGCCAGAGGAAGAGAACAUGGGCUGUGAGUCAAUGUGAAUGCUGGCUUGCUUCUGGUCUGCUUUGACCUUAAGGCUGAAGAACUUUGCCCUGCUUGCAGUUAGACUGGGACCAUGAGACUGGAUCCUGCCAAGGAGAAGUUGGAGACCAUUGCUUCAGAUGGCUACAAGAUAGUGGAGCACUCUUCAUCAUAAUCAGAUGGUGAUGUGACAGGAAUUGGACUUUAAUUGGUUAAAUUAUAGGAUUUUAAAAGUUUUGUCUGUUGUUAGUUACUCUGAAAAAUAAGACUGAGCAAAUGAGCACAAUUAAUAUAAUGAUAUGUAAUUUCAAAA